AGUGAAGCGGGAUGAGCUCAAAUUUAAAAUCUGGCUGGUUUACUAGUCCGAGUUGUAGUUUAAAGAAGCGUUUUCGGUGGCAGUCUCGGUAUAAAUCCUUUGGAAUAGGGUAUCAUAGAGGGUGAGAAUCCCGUCUUUGACUGAGAAUAUGCUACUAUGUGAUACGUUUUCAAAGAGUCGAGUUGUUUGGGAAUGCAGCUCAAAAUGGGUGGUAAAUUUCAUCUAAGGCUAAAUAUUGGCGAGAGACCGAUAGCGAACAAGUACCGUGAGGGAAAGAUGAAAAGAACUUUGAAAAGAGAGUUAAACAGUGCGUGAAAUUGUUAAAAGGGAAACGCUUGAAACCAGUCAUGCGGUUGGGAAAUCAGUCUCUGACAAGGGGGAAUGGGAGAGGUGUGGACCGCAAGGCCGCUCUUUUUCAUAUCUUUCGUGGCAGGGAUGCACUUUUUCUUCUGCAGGUCAACAUCAGUUUGCUUUGCCGGACAAAACUCUUGGAAAGGUGAUAGCUUAGGCUAUGUUAUAGUCCAAGAGCGAUACGGUGGAGCGGACUGAGGCUUUCGCAGCAUGUGCUCUCGGGCAAGGCUGAUUGGGUGCUAUGGGAUCGUUCAGAGUACAAUACAUGUAUUUUGCUUUGUGUCUUUUCUAUACUCGCUCAACUCGGCUCUUCCAUGCUUAGGAUGUUGACAUAAUGGUUCUAAUCGACC
rnacentral:rRNA from 1 species